UCCGGAGGGGGCUAUCGUUGUUCGGAAUUACUGGGCGUAAAGCGCACGUAGGCGGACUGUUAAGUCGGGGGUGAAAUCCCGGGGCUCAACCCCGGAAUGGCCUUCGAUACUGGCGGUCUUGAGGUCUGGAGAGGUGAGUGGAAUUCCGAGUGUAGAGGUGAAAUUCGUAGAUAUUCGGAGGAACACCAGUGGCGAAGGCGGCUCACUGGCCAGAUACUGACGCUGAGGUGCGAAAGCGUGGGGAGAAAACAGG
rnacentral:rRNA from 1 species